GUCCAAAACCUGGCAACUCGCCUUGGCCCACCAGCCAUAGACACACACUCACCUCCCAAACCCCGUCUUCCUCACCAGACGCGUGUUCGCAGUCGCCUCAAGCACUUAUGGAAGUUCUGGCCGCCGCCGCCGGCUCCUACUCGAGCAGUCAAAUCGCAUUUGCUGCUAAGGCUGCCCGAAACCCUAUGCACGCGUAUACAUCCUACCUAUAUCUUCAAUGGUUCAGACUCGGAAUCAAAGCAAGGCUGCCCGGAGAGAGAAACCAGAUCCAAGCGACGCCCGGCGAAGGCUGGCCGGAGGGAUUGGGUAGGCGCUGCGACCAGCGAAGGCCAGGAGAUUCAAACGACCCCGGGUAUGUUCGUUCUUCCAACCCGUUUUCAGUAGGACCUCGGGUUUAGGGUGGUCGGACGCUAGCAGCCAGAUACCGGUGGACCGAGCGCUGGUCGCCGCCUCGCCUGACUGCUCGGCUGCUGCCUCUCGGACGAGGGGCACAACUCCACUUGUUUACAAGCCGCCGCUGCCGCCGCCCUCGGCGGCAAAUUUGUAGGAGGCGUUGCAUGGCUCGCCUCUGCUAGCUGUAGAUUCAGGGUGGUAAAUGCUUAGGUUUGUUCUAAAAUUUGAUGUGAUGUGCAAAUUUAGCUAUAUUCAUGGCGUGUUGGUUUAAUAAGUGUGGUGAUCCACCUAGUGUUUCCUAAUAGUGUCCAGAUUCACCUAGUGUCUACUAUGGAGUGUGGUGAUUCACUGAAAACAAGCAGUUCGUGAUAAAUUUAGUCUUGAUAGCUCUUGUAAUAUUGUUAGUCGUUGCUGUAGUAGAGAGCUGCAGUAAAAUGCUGGACAGCAGGGUGACUGCUUAAAGAUUAUGUGGUGCUCAAUAUUGAGAAUUCUAGAGCUUUGGUAAUUCUUUAAUGAAGAAAUGUCCUUGACACAGCUGAUUUUUUGCAGAUUCAGCCAAGUAGUGUGAGCUCAUCCAGUUCUUUCACUCAGUUGAAGAUGCCCUUGAAGAAGGUUUGUUCCCUUUUUCAACUUUACUGUUUUUUCUGCUAAAAGAAGCAUUGCCUCUAAUAUUGACUGGUUUGAUAUAUAGAGAGUUCGAACAGAUGGGAAUCAUGAGCCACAUUUGGAAGAUUCAGGAAGUCUUGGUGUUCUGGUAUAGAGCCGGCCCCCGCCUACACAGCAGACAAC
rnacentral:lncRNA from 1 species